GAUGAACGCUGGCGGCGUGCCUAAUACUUGCAAGUCGAGCGAACGGACGAGACGCUUGCUUCUUUGAUGUUAGCGGCGGACGGGUGAGUAACACGUGGAUAACCUACCUAUAUGACUGGGAUAACUUCGGGAAACCGGAGCUAAUACCGGAUAAUAUUUUGAACCGCAUGGUUCAAAAGUGAAAGACGGUCUUGCUGUCUCUUAUAGAUGGAUCCGCGCUGCAUUAGCUAGUUGGUAAGGUAAAGGCCUACCAAGGGUACGAUGCGUAGCCGAACUGAGAGGCUGAUCGGCCACACUGGAACGGAGACAGGGUCCAGACGCCUAAGAGAGGCAGCAGUAGGGAAUCUUCCGCAAUGGGCGAAAGCCUGACAGAGCAAGGCCGCGUGAGUGAUGGAGGUCUUCGGAUCGUAAAACUCUGUUAUGAGGGAAGAACAGAUGUGGAAGGAGCUGUGGACAGCGUGACGGUACCGAAUCAGAAAGCCACGGCUAACUACGUG
rnacentral:rRNA from 1 species